rnacentral:rRNA from 1 species
CCUACGGGCGGCUGCAGUGGGGGAUAUUGCACAAUGGGGGAAACCCUGAUGCAGCGACGCCGCGUGAGUGAAGAAGUAUUUCGGUAUGUAAAGCUCUAUCAGCAGGGAAGAAAAUGACAGUACCUGACCAAGAAGCCCCGGCUAACUACGUGCCAGCAGCCGCGGUAAUACGUAGGGGGCAAGCGUUAUCCGGAUUUACUGGGUGUAAAGGGAGCGUGGACGGCAGCACAAGUCUGGAGUGAAAUGCCGGGGCUUAACCCCGGAACUGCUUUGGAAACUGUGCAGCUAGAGUGCAGGAGAGGUAAGUGGAAUUCCUAGUGUAGCGGUGAAAUGCGUAGAUAUUAGGAGGAACACCAGUGGCGAAGGCGGCUUACUGGACUGUAACUGACGCUGAUGCUCGAAAGCGCGGGUAGCGAACAGGAUUAGAUACCCUGGUAGUC